GUGUUUGAAAGGCAUUUUACUGUUUCCUUAUUAGUUUGGUUGAAUUUUCUCUCUCAUUUUAGUUUUUUUUUAAUUUCCUUUUCUCUGUGUGUUUCAAUCAGGGUUCAAAAAAGAAGAAGCAAUUAGCUUUCGUAUUGCUAAAGCAAACGAAGUCAACCAACAAGAGAAGGAACUGGAAGCUGGGAUUCUAGAGCUUGAAAAACAAAAAGAUGAACUUGAAGCUGAACUUAGAAAGGUCAAUGCAUCACUUGUGGCUGCUCGUGUAUGCCUCCGCAAUGCCAGGGAAGAGCGAGAGCAAUUUGAUGAUGCCAGUAACCAGAUUCUAUCACAACUGUCAUCAAAGGAAGAGGAAAUUUUAAAAUCGAUUGCUUUAUGCCGAGUAGAAGCAGACGUUGUUAAUGUGUGGAUUCAUUUUCUGGAAAAUACAUGGGUUCUCCAAACCACCUACCUCAAGCAGAAGGAGAAGCAGGUCAAGUAUGUACAUCCUUUCUUCUACCACCUAUUGAAUUGGUGCUACCACUUCUAUUGACUAUUGAUCCUAUCAUUACUCAAACCCGAGUGUGAUUGUCAGAUAAAGGGCAUUCUGACCAACACAGAUUUCUCCUUUUAAGAACAAGAAAUGGUUGCAAUAUCACCAUAUUUCAUAUCUAACUCUGGAUUGAUGCUACUGCUUCUAUUGACUAUUUAUAUAUGUUACUCCAACCUUUUUGUGUGUGUGUGUCGGAUAAGGGUAUGUAUUCGACAUAGAUAACUAAUAAGUUCAAUUUUUAAGCUUUUGCAUGUUUUUGGAAAGUACUUGGAGGGUUUUACCCCCGUACUCCGCACACAGAUUAUUCAAAAAAUAUAUCAAAGAGUCUGACAAACAUAGUUUAUCCUCU